rnacentral:rRNA from 1 species
UACGUAGGGGGCAAGCGUUGUCCGGAAUCAUUGGGCGUAAAGCGCGUGUAGGCGGCCCGGUAAGUCCGCUGUGAAAGUCGGGGGCUCAACCCUCGAAUGCCGGUGGAUACUGUCGGGCUAGAGUGCGGAAGAGGCGAGUGGAAUUCCUGGUGUAGCGGUGAAAUGCGCAGAUAUCAGGAGGAACACCAAUUGCGAAGGCAGCUCGCUGGGACGUGACUGACGCUGAGACGCGAAAGUGUGGGGAGCGAACAGG